rnacentral:rRNA from 1 species
AGUGAACGCUGGCGGCGUGCUUAACACAUGCAAGUCGAACGAGAACGGAUUAUAGCUUGCUAUAAUUGUCAGCUAAGUGGCGCACGGGUGAGUAAUGUAUAGGUAAUAUGCCUCUUACUAAGGGAUAACAAAUGGAAACGUUUGCUAAUACCUUAUACUCCUUAUUAACAGAAGUUAAUAAGGGAAAGAUUUAUUGGUAAGAGAUUAGCCUGUAUUGUAUCAGUUAGUUGGUGGGGUAAUGGCUUACCAAGACUAUGACACAUAACUGGUUUGAGAGGAUGAUCAGUCACACUGGAACUGAGACACGGUCCAGACUCCUACGGGAGGCAGCAGUGGGGAAUAUUGGCACAAUGGACGAAAGUCUGAUGCAGCAACGCCGCGUGGACGGAUGACACAUUUCGGUGCGUAAACUCCUUUUA